rnacentral:misc_RNA from 1 species
GAUGAAGAACGUAGCGAAAUGCGAUAAGUAAUGUGAAUUGCAGAAUUCAGUGAAUCAUCGAAUCUUUGAACGCACAUUGCGCCCAUUGGUAUUCCGAGGGGCAUGCCUGUUCGAGCGUCAUUAUAACCCUCAAGCUCAGUUUGGUGUUGGGGCCUGCUGCACUGGCAGCCCUUAAAAUCAGUGGCGGCGCCAUCUGGCUCUAAGCGUAGUAAUUCUUCUCGCUAUGGAGUCCUGGUGGAUGCUUGCCAUCAACCCCCAAUUUUUCUAUGGUUGACCUCGGAUCAGGUAGGGAUACCCGCUGAACUUAAGCAUAUCAAUAAGCGGAGGA